GCAGGUUGAAGCGCGGGUAAGACCGCGUGGAGGACCGAACCCACCUGGGUUGAAAACCGGGGGGAUGACUUGGGGCUAGGGGUGAAAGGCCAAUCAAAUUCCGUGAUAGCUGGUUCUCUCCGAAAUGCAUUUGGGUGCAGCGUCGGGUCAUUACGUCCCGGGGGUAGAGCUACUGGAUGCUUGCGGGCCCGUAUCGGGUACCAACAGCAACCAAACUCCGAAUACCGGUGACGCGUAUCCCGGCAGUGAGUCGGCGGGGGAUAAGCUUCGUCGUCGAAAGGGAAACAGCCCAGACCGUCGUCUAAGGUCCCGAAGCGUGUGCUAAGUGGGAAAGGAUGUGGAGUCGCAUAGACAGCCAGGAGGUUGGCUCAGAAGCAGCCACCCUUGAAAGAGUGCGUAACAGCUCACUGGUCUAGUGGUUCCGCGCCGACAAUGUAGCGGGGCUCAAGCACACCACCGAAGACGCGGCAGUAUUUUGUACUGGGUAGGAGAGCGUCCCAUGAGGGGCGAAGCGGCCGUGUGAACGCGCCGUGGACUUCAUGGGAGUGAGAAUGCAGACAUGAGUAGCGAGAGACGGGUGAAGAUCCCGUCCGCUGGAUGACCAAGGGUUCCAGGGCCACGUUCAUCGUCCCUGGGUGAGUCGGGUCCUAAGGCGAGGCCGACAGGCGUAGUCGAAUGGAUGAACGGGUCGAUAUUCCCGUACCGGCUUUCAGCCGCCAAAACCGAGGCUUGGAGUACUAACCUCCGGGUCCGGGCUUACUGCUCCUUCGGGGGCGGGAUGCCCUGGCCUGUUGGGACCGAUCCUUGUAGUAGGUCAGCGCAGGAGUGACGCAGAAGGGUAGCCGGCCGCGGAGGUGGUCUUCCGUGGUCAAGCACGCAGGGCGUGGGACAGGCAAAUCCGUCCCGCAUGGGUCCGAGGUGCGAUGAUGGGGGCCUUAUGGCCCGAUAUCCGGUGAUCCCGGCUGCCGAGAAAAGCUUCGGCGUCAGGCUCGAAGCCGCCCGUACCCCAAACCGACACUGGUGGUCAGGUAGAGAAUACCAAAGCGAUCGAGCGAAUCCUGGUCAAGGAACUCGGCAAAUCACUCCCGUUCCUUCGGUUUAAGGGAGACCCCCGAUGGUGAACACGCUUGCUGUGGGAGCUUUUGGGGGUGGCACAGACCAGGGGGUAGCGACUGUUUACCAAAAACACAGGUGCAUGCGAAGGCGCAAGCCGCUGUAUAUGCACUGACGCCUGCCCGGUGCCGGAAGGUUAAGAGGAUCCGUCAGCCCUUCGGGUGAAGCGGUGAAUUCAAGCCCCGGUAAACGGCGGUGGUAACUAUAACCAUCCUAAGGUAGCGAAAUUCCUUGUCGGGUAAGUUCCGACCUGCACGAAUGGCGUAACGACUUCCCCACUGUCUCGACCAGGAGCUCGGCGAAAUUGCAGUACGAGUAAAGAUGCUCGUUAAGCGCAGAAGGACGAAAAGACCCCGGGACCUUUACUAUACCUUGGUAUUGGCAUUCGGUGUGGAUUGUGUAGCAUAGGCGGGAGGCCGAGAGGCGCGGUCGCCAGAUCGCGCGGAGCCGUAAGGUGAAAUACCGCUCUGUUCGCAUUGGAUGUCUAACCUCGAACAGUCAUCCUGUUCAGGGACAGUGCCUGGCGGGUAGUUUAACUGGGGCGGUUGCCUCCCAAAGAGUAACGGAGGCGCCCAAAGGUCCGCUCAGCCCGGUUGGCAAUCGGGUGGCGAGUGCAAGUGCACAAGCGGGCUUGACUGCGAGGACGACGGUCCGAGCAGGGACGAAAGUCGGGACUAGUGAUCCGGUGCCGGUGUACGGACGCGGCAUCGCUCAACGGAUAAAAGGUACCCCGGGGAUAACAGGCUGAUCAUUCCCAAGAGUCCAUAUCGACGGGAUGGUUUGGCACCUCGAUGUCGGCUCGUCGCAUCCUGGGGCUGGAGCAGGUCCCAAGGGUUCGGCUGUUCGCCGAUUAAAGCGGCACGCGAGCUGGGUUCAGAACGUCGUGAGACAGUUUGGUCUCUAUCCUCUGCGCUCGUUGGAAUGCUGAGGAGGCCUGCCCAUAGUACGAGAGGACCUGGGUGGACGAACCUCUGGUAUGCCGGUUGUCACGCCAGUGGCACGGCCGGUUGGCUACGUUCGGAAGGGAUAACCGCUGAAAGCAUCUAAGCGGGAAGCCUGCUCCAAGAU
rnacentral:rRNA from 1 species